rnacentral:rRNA from 1 species
AGUGAACGCUGGCGGUAGGCCUAACACAUGCAAGUCGAACGGCAGCACAGGAGAGCUUGCUCUCUGGGUGGCGAGUGGCGGACGGGUGAGGAAUACAUCGGAAUCUACUCUGUCGUGGGGGAUAACGUAGGGAAACUUACGCUAAUACCGCAUACGACCUACGGGUGAAAGCAGGGGACCUUCGGGCCUUGCGCGAUUGAAUGAGCCGAUGUCGGAUUAGCUAGUUGGCGGGGUAAAGGCCCACAAAGGCGACGAUCCGUAGCUGGUCUGAGAGGAUGAUCAGCCACACUGGAACUGAGACACGGUCCAGACUCCUACGGGAGGCAGCAGUGGGGAAUACUGGACAAUGGGCGCAAGCCUGAUCCAGCCAUACCGCGUGGGUGAAGAAGGCCUUCGGGUUGUAAAGCCCUUUUGUUGGGAAAGAAAUCCAGCUGGCUAAUACCCGGUUGGGAUGACGGUACCCAAAGAAUAAGCACCGGCUAACUUCGUGCCAGCCGCCGCAGUAA